rnacentral:rRNA from 1 species
CACGUAGGGGGCGAGCGUUGUCCGGAUUUAUUGGGCGUAAAGAGCUCGUAGGCGGCUCGGUAAGUCAGGUGUGAAAACUCUAGGCUCAACCUAGAGACGCCACCUGAUACUGCCGUGGCUAGAGUCCGGUAGGGGAGCAUGGAAUUCCUGGUGUAGCGGUGAAAUGCGCAGAUAUCAGGAGGAACACCAGUGGCGAAGGCGGUGCUCUGGGCCGGAACUGACGCUGAGGAGCGAAGGCGUGGGGAGCAAACAGG